rnacentral:piRNA from 1 species
UUCUCAAGACCUGUGAGGAGAUGCGU